rnacentral:rRNA from 1 species
AUUGAACGCUGGCGGCAGGCUUAACACAUGCAAGUCGAGCGGGGGAAGGUAGCCUGCUACUGGACCUAGCGGCGGACGGGUGAGUAAUGCUUAGGAAUCUGCCUAUUAGUGGGGGACAACAUCUCGAAAGGGAUGCUAAUACCGCAUACGUCCUACGGGAGAAAGCAGGGGAUCUUCGGACCUUGCGCUAAUAGAUGAGCCUAAGUCGGAUGAGCUAGUUGGUGGGGUAAAGGCCUACCAAGGCGACGAUCUGUAGCGGGUCUGAGAGGAUGAUCCGCCACACUGGGACUGAGACACGGCCCAGACUCCUACGGGAGGCAGCAGUGGGGAAUAUUGGACAAUGGGGGAAACCCUGAUCCAGCCAUGCCGCGUGUGUGAAGAAGGCCUUAUGGUUGUAAAGCACUUUAAGCGAGGAGGAGGCUACUCUAGUUAAUACCUAGGGAUAGUGGACGUUACUCGCAGAAUAAGCACCGGCUAACUCUGUGCCAGCCGCCGCGGUAA